GCUCAGACCCCACCUGCAGGGCUGCAUCCAGCUCUGGGCUCCCAGCACAGCAAGGACAGGGACCUGCUGGAGCCAGGCCAGAGCAGGCACCGAGGGGAUGGGGGGCUGGAACACCUCCUGGAUUAAGGCAGGCUAAGAGAUCUGGGGCUGUUCCGCUGGAAAAGAGAAAGCUUUAGGGUGUCCUAAUUGUGGCCUUCCGGCACCUGCAGAAAACUUGCAGAAAAGAUAAGCAAUUGUCACUACAAUUCUGUAGUGACAGAAGAAGGAAAAAUGGCCUGAAUUGAAAGAGAUUUUUCUGUUAGGUGAGGAGAACAGAAUUCUUCGACAGUGUGUCACGGACUGAAGUGGUUCAUGCCUUGAACAUUGUUAUGAAGGAGUUUUGCCCAUUAUAGCAAAAACUGCAUAAAGAAGCGACAACCUCAGAAGCCCAUCCCUCCUUCAAGAUGCCUGACUGGAACUUUACACUGGGGGACCCUCACCACCAAGGCAACCUGCUGGAGAGGAUCAACAGAACACUGGAAUUCACAAAGUAGUGAUACUUUCUUUGGUCUGUCUCUGUCACUCUCUGUCCCGCCACCUCUUUUCUAUUCCUUUCUUUCUCUCUCUCCUUCUCUCUCUCUCUCUCUCUCUCUCUCUCUGUCUCUCUCAUAUUUAUAAUUAAA